ensembl:lncRNA novel transcript
ACGUGCACGCAAACGCUGACAACAGCGGCAGGCGCCUUUUAAGCGCUCAGGACAGCCAGAGCGGGAUGCACGCCUAGGCAGACAGGGCAUCCACAUUAAUCUGGAUAAAGGCUGCUUCUUCAGCCACAGCUAAGGUGCAUGUAAUAGGAAUGAGAGCCACCUGUGUUUCAGAAAGCGUCUGGGAUUUUAGAGCUGCUUGUAACUGCAGCCUAACACAGCCUCAGCCGACUGAUACAUCCAGUGUCGUCAAAACAGAGCAGUGAACCAAGCAGCCGGCUCAUUGUUUGAGAAACAGUUGUUUCAUGGGUGAAUUGACCUCAUCUUCGGCAGCCACCGGUUUGCUAAGCAUUUACUUUGAACAUUUCUAUGGCUGGAGUACAAUGGCACGAUCUCGGCUCACUGCAACCUCCGCCUCCCAGGUUCAAGCGAUUCUCCUGCCUCAGCCUCCCGAUAGCUGGGAUUACAGUUUUCCAUAGACCACAUGAGUUCUGAUAAUCCUGAAAACGAUUUGCUCUCUUCUCCAAUGCUGAAUGAAGACUACCUCAUCCCUUCCUUCUUGCUUCUAACAGCAGAUCAGAUCUCCAGGUUCGAAGUUCCUAGAUGUGCUUUCUGAUCCUGGUUAUUCUUUGUCAGCCUUCAAAGCCAAAGCCUUACUGACGUGCAGAUCCAAGGAAAAGUUUCUUUCCUCAUUGUGUGUUGCCUAUGUUUAUAACCACAUACACACAUAAACAUGUAAACUCUGCAUUUCAGAAAGCAAUGAUUUGUUAUCCAUAUCUUAUCUAUACAUUUCUGCUUUGACAUUUUAUUAAAAACAUAAAAAUGAGUACGGUAACCCAAUUUGAAUCCUUUAACUCAAAAAGUUUAUUUAUGUAUACAUAAACUGAUUAAACACUUUUUUUUUUUGCCUUAGGAGGUACAUGAAUAUGUUUUAAAAUCUCCAUAAAAUAGCACAAGGUGCUCUGUGUAAACUUACCCAGAACAUACAAAUAAUUGUAAAAUAACUGAAGGGCUAAUAAAAUAAACUCAUGUAUCUGCUGUAAAUGUUA